UAAGCCCUACUGUGUGCGCAACGACCCAUGUUUUGAGCCAACACAUUGAGUAUGGGAGCUUAACUCUGAUUGCGGCAUGCAUGCCUCCUAGUCGAGGAGCGUAAAAGCAGUUAGGCGGCACCCACCUGCCAGGGGCAGGUUCAAAACAAGGGUGAUAAACGGCAUAGUGGGGAACAA
rnacentral:other from 1 species